rnacentral:rRNA from 1 species
GGACCAAGGAGUCUAGCAUGUGCGCGAGUCAUUGGGACUCUAACGAAACCUAAAGGCGUAAUGAAAGUGAAGGCCCGCCUAGCGCGGGCCGAGGGAGGAUGGGUGUCCCCGAGGGGACGCCUCGCACUCCCAGGGCGUCUCGUUCUCAUUGCGAGAAGAGGCGCACCAUGAGCGUACACGCUGGGACCCGAAAGAUGGUGAACUAUGCCUGGUCAGGACGAAGUCAGGGGAAACCCUGAUGGAGGUCCGUAGCGAUUCUGACGUGCAAAUCGAUCGUCGGAACUGGGUAUAGGGGCGAAAGACUAAUCGAACCAUCUAGUAGCUGGUUCCCUCCGAAGUUUCCCUCAGGAUAGCUGGCGCUCGCUUCUCGCGAGUCUCAUUCGGUAAAGCGAAUGAUUAGAGGCAUUGGGGUCGAAACGGCCUCAACCUAUUCUCAAACUUUAAAUGGGUGAGAUCUCCGGCUUGCUUGAACUGUGAAGCCGCGAGAUAUCGGAUCAGAGUGCCAAGUGGGCCACUUUUGGUAAGCAGAACUGGCGCUGUGGGAUGAACCAAACGCUGAGUUAAAGCGCCUAAAUCGACGCUUAUGGGAUACCAUGAAAGGCGUUGGUAACUUAAGACAGCAGGACGGUGGCCAUGGAAGUCGGA